UACAGAGGUCUCAAGCGUUGUUCGGACUCAUUGGGCGUAAAGGGCGCGUAGGCGGCCCUCCUUGUCGCGUGUGAAAGCCCCGGGCUCAACCUGGGAACGGCGCGCGAGACGGGGGGGCUGGAGUUCGGGAGAGGAGCGUGGAAUUCCCAGUGUAGAGGUGAAAUUCGUAGAUAUUGGGAAGAACACCGGUGGCGAAGGCGGCGCUCUGGACCGAGACUGACGCUGAGGCGCGAAAGCGUGGGGAGCAAACAGG
rnacentral:rRNA from 1 species